UUUGCUCCCAAUGACAAGGAUUAACAAUCAUUCAUUUCAAACAAAAUUCAAAACAUUGUCUCGAGUACUCGGCAGAUUACAAGGCUACACAAGCCUGAGGCUCCUCCAAAGAUACAAGCUCAAACAUCUUCAAAGCAAUUGGCUCAGCCUCCUCGAGGUAUUGCGCAUAAGCAUCCUCCAUGCAGUUCUGAGCAACGUCGUCACCAGCUACCAUUAAAU
rnacentral:lncRNA from 1 species